UACAGAGGUCUCAAGCGUUGUUCGGAUUCAUUGGGCGUAAAGGGUGCGUAGGCGGCGCGGUAAGUCGGGUGUGAAAUCUUGGAGUUUAACUCCGAAACUGCAUUCGAUACUGCCGUGCUUGAGGACUGGAGAGGAGACUGGAAUUUACGGUGUAGCGGUGAAAUGCGUAGAGAUCGGAAAGAACACCAACGGCGAAAGCACUCUGCUGGGCCGACACUGACACUGAGAGACGAAAGCUAGGGGAGCGAAUGGG
rnacentral:rRNA from 1 species